ACGAUGCGCACAAGUAGAGUGAUCGAAAGAUGAAAAGCACUUUGGAAAGAGAGUUAAAAAGUACGUGAAAUUGUUGAAAGGGAAGCGCUUGCGACCAGACUCGACCGUUGCGGAUCAACCCUCCCCGCGGAGGGCUCACUCCGCCUCGGUCGGGCCAGCAUCGGUUCCAGCGGUCGGAUAAAGGCGUCGGGAAUGUGGCUCCUCUCGGGGAGUGUUAUAGCCCGUCGUGCAAUACGACCCGCCGGGACCGAGGACCGCGCUUAGGCAAGGAUGCUGGCGUAAUGGUCGUAAGCGGCCCGUCUUGAAACACGGACCAAGGAGUCUAACAUCUAUGCGAGUGUUCGGGUGUCAAACCCCUGCGCGUAAUGAAAGUGAACGGAGGUCGGAGCCCUAGGGCGCACGAUCGACCGAUCCUGAUGUCUUCGGAUGGAUUUGAGUAAGAGCAUAGCUGUUGGGACCCGAAAGAUGUGCGAGCUAUACCUGAGUAGGCCGAAGCCAGCGGAAACGCUGGUGGAGGGUCGCAGCGGUUCUGACGUGCAAAUCGAUCGUCAAACUUGGGUAUAGGGGCGAAAGACUAAUCGAGCCAU
rnacentral:rRNA from 1 species